UACGAAGGGGGCUAGCGUUGCUCGGAUUUACUGGGCGUAAAGGGCGCGUAGGCGGUCAGCACAAGUCAGUUGUGAAAUCUCCGGGCUUAACUCGGAAAGGUCAACUGAUACUGUGCGACUAGAGUGCGGAAGGGGCAACUGGAAUUCUCGGUGUAGCGGUGAAAUGCGUAGAUAUCGAGAGGAACACCUGCGGCGAAGGCGGGUUGCUGGGCCGACACUGACGCUGAUGCGCGAAAGCCAGGGGAGCGAACGGG
rnacentral:rRNA from 1 species